rnacentral:rRNA from 1 species
AACGAACGCUGGCGGCGCGCCUAACACAUGCAAGUCGAACGAGAAGGCGUAGCAAUACGCUUGUAGAGUGGCGAACGGGUGAGUAAUACGUGGGUGACCUACCCUCGAGUGGGGAAUAACCCGCCGAAAGGCGGGCUAAUGCCGCGUACGCUUCCGUCCUCACGGGGACGGAAGGAAAGCUGUACCGUGGGUACGGCGCUCAAGGAUGGGCUCACGUCCUAUCAGCUUGUUGGUAGGGUAACGGCCUACCAAGGCUACGACGGGUAGCUGGUCUGAGAGGACGAUCAGCCACACUGGCACUGCGACACGGGCCAGACUCCUACGGGAGGCAGCAGUGAGGAAUAUUGCGCAAUGGGCGAAAGCCUGACGCAGCGACGCCGCGUGGGGA